UGGGGAAUAUUGCACAAUGGGCGCAAGCCUGAUGCAGCCAUGCCGCGUGUAUGAAGAAGGCCUUCGGGUUGUAAAGUACUUUCAGCGGGGAGGAAGGGAGUAAAGUUAAUACCUUUGCUCAUUGACGUUACCCGCAGAAGAAGCACCGGCUAACUCCGUGCCAGCAGCCGCGGUAAUACGGAGGGUGCAAGCGUUAAUCGGAAUUACUGGGCGUAAAGCGCACGCAGGCGGUUUGUUAAGUCAGAUGUGAAAUCCCCGGGCUCAACCUGGGAACUGCAUCUGAUACUGGCAAGCUUGAGUCUCGUAGAGGGGGGUAGAAUUCCAGGUGUAGCGGUGAAAUGCGUAGAGAUCUGGCGGAAUACCGGUGGCGAAGGCGGCCACCUGGACAAAGACUGACGCUCAGGUGCGAAAGCGUGGGGAGCAAACAGG
rnacentral:rRNA from 1 species